CGCAGGGUACUAUCAAUGGCAGAUGGCCAGGCUCAUAACCUGCGCGGCUGGAGGUUCGAAUCCUCUCCCUGCUA
rnacentral:tRNA from 1 species